rnacentral:lncRNA from 1 species
AUGGAAAACACGUGUUCUGCCAAAGUCCUGCCUACCCCCAGCAUGGGAGCUGACAGGAUCCCAUUUGCUUCUAGCAUAGGGAGAACUGACCCCUAUAAAUUACAUUCUUCCGUUAAUGGCCUGGCCCAGAGAAAUCUGGCAUCACCCCAAAUCUUUCUCUUUCCGGACUCCUGCAAGCGAGGUGAGAGGAAGCGGGAAGGAACGAGAGCAAUCAGGAACAACCUCUCAGACUCUGACUCGAGCCCCUGGGUGGAUGUGACGCUCCUUAGUAUCAUCCCUAGUAAGAUGUGGAAAACUGCCUGGGAAAAAUCUGGAGAGAGGAACAUCAGGGGUUCAGUGCUGACCUUGUUAAGUUUGAGAGGCCUGUUAGACUUACUUAAAUGAGAUGUUAAGAUGGCAGUUUGGUCCAUGAGUUAGAUUCCAGGGAGUGGCCAAGACUGAGAUAUACAUUCGGCAGAGAUGCACAGUUCCAAGUCUGUGGACGGAAGAUAACCUAAAGAGAGAAGCAAAAAGACAUCUCAGUCUCAGGACUAGGUAGCUGCAAGGUUUAGAACCACUGAGUAUGAAAUCAUUACCGGGUUCUGAGUCUGGCAAAUAUUACUAACAGACUGUCUAGUUAUGAUGUCUAGUUUAUGAGAUUAACUACUGGAGUGUCAGUUUUACAUAUCCCAUUGCUGUUUCACAACCUUGAAGUAUAGAGUGAGAUGGAUAUGAUGCUGAGGUCAUGGAUGAUUUUUAGUUUCUUCCUUGUCCUUUCUAUAUUGUUCAAAUUCUCUACAAUGAAUGUGCAACAAUUCUACCAUGAGAAAAACACAAUAAAUAUUUUAAAGAGUGAUAGCCUAUAUGUGGUGUACAGUGCACUGCAGUCAGUGAUCACAAAUUCAUGCAAACUCCACAUUAUCAGGUGAACACGAGUGUGAGGGUGGGCAUUCCUCCUGUAAUUUUAAAUGAAUUAUGUAUAUAAACAUUCAUGAUUUUAAUGAUCUAGAAUAACGAUGCCUUGGUAAAAUUGAUAAGACCAAGAUGUCAGCAUGAUACAAAGGUCACAGCUACAAGUCACCCUACACGAGUCUGUUAGCUUGAGGAGUUCACAGGCGUAUUCCUUACAUUUCUCUGUAUCUUUUCCAACUCUCCAAAUGCAGAGGGCUAGCAAAAAUGUAAUCAGGGAAAUAAUUCUUGGCCACAACUCACAUUCCAAAGGAAAAAAUAACAACAACAAAAUACCCAAGCAAAACCAUCAAACCACAUCCUGGUAAAAACUUUUCAUGUGCCGUGAAGGCAUCAUCUGGUCCCCAUCAUUACCAGCUGUGACUUGUACAACCGGAAAAGGCCAGACUGUAGCAAGAGGAGAUAAAUGAAAGGCCCGUGACAAGGUUUUGAAGCUGAGUGUGUUCAGCAGCAUUUGUAACUAAGGUGGCAACUAGAGAAUUAAAGAAGGAACAGGAAGGGUCAGGCUAAGAUGGAGUCACUAGAGCCUAUUAAUAAAGAUAGGAGGAGUCUUUUCAGAUCCAAAUAGGAAUGGCAAUUUUCAGAUCUAUCACAAGACUUUUCUAUUNNNNNNNNNNNNNNNNNNNNNNNNNNNNNNNNNNNNNNNNNNNNNNNNNNNNNNNNNNNNNNNNNNNNNNNNNNNNNNNNNNNNNNNNNNNNNNNNNNNCCAAAUAGGAAUGGCAAUUUUCAGAUCUAUCACAAGACUUUUCUAUUUUUCAUUCAGUCAAUGUGAAUUAAUAGCCCACUUGGAGCAGUGUAUAUGUGGGUGCUCAGGGAGAUGGGACAGCAAAACUGAAGAACUUUAUACCAAGUUGGAAAGAAAUGACUCAAUACUCUGAAACUGCUAUCAGCAAACUUAACCCUAACACCAGUUUAUCACUGCUAUAUCCUGGAGCCCAGUCCAUAGAAUCACAGCUCCUAAGGAUGUAAAUGUGAUCAAUAAGUUAAUCAAGAUACGCUUCUUACAGCAGAAACUUACGUGCAGAGUCUCCCAGAGGGGUAUAACAGAGCUGACAUUUCCCUCAGUUCUUUAUUUAUGACAACUCUUACCCAGAGCUUCCUAGAAGAGUUAUGUUCCAAAAACACACCUGAUAAAUCCUUCUGAGCAGACAUUAGGGUCACAUAGGAUUGAUCAGGAAGAACUUUGUGGAAGUUGCAGCAGAGUUUCUAAACAGAGAGGUAAAUAAUUUGAUGGAGAAAUAAGAAGAUAAGUUAGACUGAAGAACCAUACAAUGGUUCAAAAAUUAAACAAGCUAUGUCCAUGAAAGAGACAUGGAUUCCAAACUAGGUGUGGCUGAGGCAGCUUUCUCUACGAACUGCACUGUUGCUGUUUAGUCACUAAGUUCAUGUCUGACUCUUUGCAACCCCAUGGACUAGCCCCCAAGGCUCCUCUGUCUAUGGGAUUCCCCAGGCAAGAAUACUAGAGUAGGUUGCCAUUUCCUUCUCUGGGAGAUCUUCCCAACCCAGGGAUCAAACUGUCUCUUCUGUGUUGCACAAAUCCUAACAAAUCAAGUAACUGGAAAAAGUCAACCAGCAUUUUGAAUUAUGGAGAGGUCAAUGAGAAAUGGUGGGUGAAUGCUGAAGAAUCUACUAAUCUUAUAGAUAACAUAUCACAGAAGAGAAUUCUUAAUUUUAAUAAUUUUAAAUUAUUGUUUUGAAUAAUUUAAGAGUUGUCAAAUUUAUAAUGAUCUACAUAUAUAUAGUAUAUAUUUAACUACUUUUUAUCAGUUUGUCCCUUCUAUAAGUUAUACUUGUCCCUUGGAAGGCUGCAUGCUUUAUAAGACAAAUUCACAGUACUAUUUAAUGCAUUUGUUCUUUCUAGAAUUCAGAAUUACCAACCUUAAGGCAGAAAUCCUGCCAGUUAUAAUGCUAGCCUCACAAGACAUCAUCAAAAUGCUGAUUCAUACUUGACUAAAUAAGCCACAUAUUAAUUACUCAUUUCAGUGUCAGAGUAUUCAUUAUAUAUUGCUUUUUCCAAGGGAGGAAAAGAUAAGGAGAUGCUGAUGCUUCCANNNNNNNNNNNNNNNNNNNNNNNNNNAGCAAAAAUAAGUUACUUUCGCCCUUUAAAUGAAUUAUGCAGAACAAAUCUGUACAAGUAAUAGUGAAACUAAAGGCUUCAUCAUUUAGAGCCAAAAGGAUAUUUUCAGUCUCCUCUCCUAAAUGCUUUUGGUGGCUCAAAUCUAUAUAAGCUAUGCUAUAGUUUCUCCAGUCUAUACCUCAUGCGGAACUGUUGUCUAUGCCUCUAGUUCCUCAGUACCUAUCUCCUCUCACUUGUAUAGUAGGUUUUAAUAAAGGCUGAGGCUACAGGGUGAACCUGACAUACUAGAAACUCAUCCUGGACUUGGUCUCUGCUCCCCUGCUGUGUUUCAGGGCUGCCAGAGCAAGUCUUAUGUAAGAAUGCAAAUCACGCUCCCUCUCGUUAAAUAGUGCUGCAUACAGCGGUGCUGUGUGGGCGUCCCUGGUGGCUCAGCUGANNNNNNNNNNNNNNNNNNNNNNNNNNNNNNNNNNNNNNNNNNNNNGUUGGGAAGAUCCCCUGAAGAAGGGAAAGACUACCUACUCCAGCAUUCUGACCUUCAGAAUUCCAUAGAUUGUAUAGCAUGGGGUCACAAAGAGUCGGAUAUGACUGAGCAACUUUCACACAGCAUCCAGCUUGUCAGAAGCACUAAAAUGGUAGACAUUAGGCUGAGGAUGGUUAUAAUUACAAGACUGAAGGGGAAAAUGAGAAUGAAGCUGAUACUGUUUCUUUCUGGAGAACUAGAAAGACAGUACUCACCCAAGUUUCUCACCUUGAUGUCAAGAAUCCCUUAGAACCAGAACUCAAGCUACACUCCCUUGUAGGGUUUAGGCACAAAUGGAUAUAGUGAUAUAAUUUGAUGGCCCAGUGGUUUUCUGGAUGGAGGCUGAAAAGUCUACUUGUAGGAAGCUUAUGCUAAGGGAAAGGGUGAAGAUGAGCUGAUCCUGUUACAAACGCUUAGUUAUCAAAAUGGAGGAGGUACCCUGGGUACAUCCUGGCAAACACAUUUCAGACCUGUCCCUGCUCUAGCCUUCUGGAUACAUGUAUACCUCCAAGAAAGCAAGAUGGAGCUAUAAGUGCUAAUUAACUACUUAUACUAAUUUGUAUAAUACAUCUACUGUCAUCCUACCCUACCAGAACAUUAGGCAAAGGGGUGAAAAAUACAUCACCUUCCUCACCUCCUACCCCUCCACAUUCUUCUGACACCAAACUGGUGGAUUUGGUGUGAUGGAGCCUCACGC